rnacentral:rRNA from 1 species
CCUACGGGAGGCAGCAGCGAGGAAUCUUGGGCAAUGGGCGAAAGCCUGACCCAGCGACGCCGCGUGAGGGAUGAAGGCCUUCGGGUCGUAAACCUCUUUUGUGAGGGAAGAAGUUCUGACGGUACCUCACGAAUAAGCCACGGCUAACUACGUGCCAGCAGCCGCGGUAAU